rnacentral:rRNA from 1 species
GAUGAACGCUGGCGGCGUGCUUAACACAUGCAAGUCGAACGAAGCACUUUAUUUGAUUUCCUUCGGGACUGAUUAUUUUGUGACUGAGUGGCGGACGGGUGAGUAACGCGUGGGUAACCUGCCUUGUACAGGGGGAUAACAGUUGGAAACGGCUGCUAGUACCGCAUAAGCGCACGGCAUCGCAUGAUGCAGUGUGAAAAACUCCGGUGGUAUAAGAUGGACCCGCGUUGGAUUAGCUAGUUGGUGAGGUAACGGCCCACCAAGGCGACGAUCCAUAGCCGACCUGAGAGGGUGACCGGCCACAUUGGGACUGAGACACGGCCCAAACUCCUACGGGAGGCAGCAGUGGGGAAUAUUGCACAAUGGGCGAAAGCCUGAUGCAGCGACGCCGCGUGAGCGAAGAAGUAUUUCGGUAUGUAAAGCUCUAUCAGCAGGGAAGAUAAUGACGGUACCUGACUAAGAAGCACCGGCUAAAUACGUG